GCCUUUGUUGUGUAGUGGUCAGCACACUGGACGCAUAUUCCAGAGGUCCAUUGUUCGAAUCCCGGCGAAAGCG
rnacentral:tRNA from 1 species